rnacentral:piRNA from 1 species
UACUACGACUUCCAUCAUGCUCCGCGCCGC